GGAUCUUAAACGAGACUCUUUGGUCUGUUUUCUGUAUCAGCGGUCGUCGUGGCAUCUUUCCAUUUUGGCUCGAUGCUCUCUGAGUGUUUAAGUCCACCGUUUCACUUCUGCUGUGAGCUGCACUCCGGGUAAGACACCAAACUUGAUACUUCAUUCAUAAGAAUAUAAAUCUGAAACUUUUUCGUCAUUUCUGUGAAUUAAAUCAGAUUAUUUUUUAACUAAAUGACACUCUGCAGUAAAAACACAGACCGCAGAGUGACGCCUCGACUUUGUUUGUUUGCAUAAAAUACCGAUUAAUAUAACGACUCCAUCAGAUUAACAUUACAUACUUAACAUCAUGUUUAAAUCUCCACUGCAGAGAUAGUUUAUGUCGUAAUUAUGAGUCUAUAUUAUGCAUAUUGACAGGUCAUUAUCCGGCGCACUAAUAUGCUGCUGUCAUUGGCUGAAUAUUCUAUGAUAAUGAUCUAAUUAGCAUGUUGUAUUAAGAUGUGUUUAAAUAGAUGGUUCAUGGAGAGGCUUUGAAUUAAACCGAGUGGAGAUCUGUGUGUGUGUGUGUGUGCGUGUGUGUGUGAUUUACAGAGAUGUUUGGAUGUUAUGAUAUUAUAAUAAUGACGCACUUUCAGUUCUUUGUGUUACAGACAAACAUGCAGAUUUGUUGUUAAAGUUGUUUUUUUGCUUCUCGUCGUUCUCGUUUGUUUUUAAAAUUAAAGCAGGUUUUUUUUCUGCAGGUUUAAAGUUUUGAUCACGAUGAUGACGGCCGUUAAACUGUUAACAUCACGCUCCUCUCUGACCUUUGACCUCCAGCUUUAAUCAACCUGCAUGUUUACGCCCGUUUAGGUGACGAGUUUCUGCAGAUUUUUGGGACUAAAAUUCGACAAAAAUUAGUUAAAAUCAUCGACCAGGUCUGUGAGGAACAUGUGAUUAAAUUAUAAUAUGUAGAUUUUUAACGGUGCAGAAGAAAUCCAAAAACUCGAACUGUCACUAAAAAUAUCAGAUUUUCUGUCUUUUAUAAACAGUUUAAAUGUAAAGAUGCACCUAAAGCUGAAUAUCAGCAUCUUUAACCAAAAAGCAGGAUUCGACCAAACUCCGCUGUCUCUCAGAUGAUGUUUUUAUUCGAUAUUUUUAAUAAAUCUGUAUUUUAAAAGAAACGAGAGCGAACUGUGACAAACAAUAAUUAUAAAACAGACUAAAAAACACAGAAAGUUUCUUUAGAAAUCACCAAAUAUUUUGAACAGGAGGAUAAAGUCGCUGCUCUCAGGACGGUCAGGACUGGACGGACUUUGAUUUGGACCUUUUCUCUUUUUCACGGAGACGUUCGCCUGUUCGACUUCGUUUUACUCUGAAUUUGAGAAAUUUUGAGCUGAAAAGGUCAAAGGUUACGACCCUGCAGCGUGAGGCGUCUAUGAAUAGGCGCUCCUGGUGUAGGCGCUGACUCAUGUUUGGAUAUAUUUGGGACAUAUUGAUAUUUUCAAAGCUGAUAACAUGUAGGUGUUUUUUCCUUAUUUGACAGAUCUGAUAUUUAACUGUAAAUUAGCAUUUAUGACACAUUUUCCUGCCUGAUGCUCCAGAUUAUUUCUGAUUACAUAAUAAUGUUUUUGAUAAACUGCCCGGAUCAGACCGCAGCAGCGAAGAUGAUGAUGAUGAAUGAAGUCGCCUCAGUCAUUGUCUUUCUCCUGUUGUCGCUCAGAGCGUCAGGAUAUUCAAAAAUCGGACUUUUGAUGCUCGCAGAGAUCACACCGAAAUAUUAACCACAAACAGGAAACAGGAGUUAUUAUUUUUAAACUUAAAAAAAGCUUCAUGCGUUUGGAAAUGUUGUUAUAAUAUUAUGUUGCAUUUAAAUAAACCUGAUAUUGCAAAAUUCACGGAUUUUAACACGUUUUAAGAGCCGAUACUCAGAUUUAUUGACUGUAAAUAUAAAUUCUGACACUUUUAAAAUUUACCAGGUUUACAAAUUAAAACCUAAAAAGAUAAAAUCACUAGAAAAAUUUAAUCAAAUGCAAAAAUUUGCUUAAAUUUUAAAUGAUGAGAUAUAAAUCAGAGCGCACGUGCAACAUGCAUUAUUGGAAAUAUACGCUGUGGGUAAUUUGAGAUACUUCAAAAUUACAAAUAUUAACUUUAAAAAUAUAAUUUUUGUUUUUUUAAUGUUUGGUUUGGUAAAAUCAGAUGAAUUAUAUCGAUGUUUUUAUUCUAUAUUUCACCAACGUUUACUCUAAAGGUGCAGAAGUGAGAAGAGAAGAGUUCACAUGUCGAGGGGAGUUUUUUUUUAAUUUAAUCAUCUGGCAGAAUAUUUCCAAAUCUUCACAUUUAAUGGCAGAAAUGUCUCCUCAUUAAGAGGAGAAGCCUUUGAUAUUUCAUUUAGACCAUCACAGGACACUUAGAGUCUCCACUGAAGGCCGAGAGCUGAAAUAAUUUAAGAGUUGGAAGCACUUUAAAGCAGCAGAAAAACAGUGGAGCCUUUCUUCACUCAAAGAACGGCACCAAAAAACAGCUAAAUCUAAUCAGGAGGUCAGGAUUUCUCUCUGUUUCUCUCUGCUGCCGUCGCACAAAAGCUUUCUUUAUGACAGAUUAAAUAAAAAAAUCUGAAUCGUUGAGAUUUGAGAGUGAAAAAGCGAAGCAGAGCAGCGUCUGAGCAGCUCAGUGAGAGACGGGGUUUAAACUGUAGGGUGCAGCAGUCGUCUUUCAAACACGACGAGCUGGAAGCAGCCGCAGAGCCGAGGAGGAGGAGGAGGAGGAAGAAGGGGAGGAGGAGGAGGAGGAGGCCUGAACACAAGAACCACUAAAGCUCAGAGACGAAGAAGAAGAAGAGGAAGAGGAGGAGGAGGGAGGAAGAGAGAGAGAGAGAGAGAGGAGGGAGGGGGUGAUGUGUAAUUACAGACUACAUACUAACACCCCCAUCGUCAUUUACAUUAGUUGAUGUCGUGGAAAAAUAUUAGAUGAAGAUUGUUUUCAUGCGACGGAGGGAAUCCACACACACACACACACACACACACACACACACGCACACAUAUCUAACAGGCCACUUGACCACUUAAGUUGCAGCGAUUAUCCCGUUAACUGACACGAACCUUCAGCAGGAGCGUCACGGAGCAGCGGCCAAUCACAGGAGGCGUUACAUCCGGCACAGAGCGCGUCUGUCUGAUUCCGCUUUAAUUCUGUUUUAAUGAUGAUGUGUUUCACUCUGAUUUCUGCUAUUUUCAGCUCUUCCUAUUGGCUUUUUAUCGGCCCUCGUUUGUCUGUUCGGCUUGUUUUGACUGCGACUGGAAGGAAGGACGGACUGACCACCCAGGAGCCCACCGAGGAGGACGAAGAGGAAGAGGAGGAGGAGGAGGAGGAGGUCUGAGAUUAAAAAUAAAGCUCAAGUUUUAUUGUUUUAAAAUUCCUUUCAGGUCAUAAGUACAAUUAUCUGCAGAAGGAGCCUCAUCCUUCACUCUGAGCCUCUUCCUGGUUUCCUCUCACCCCUAAAUUUGAGCCGAGUGGUUCAGUCCGCUCCUGUUUCCUCCAUGUUUACAUCAUUAUAACUUUAGGGUAACUCAGGUAACCAUCAGCUGGAGUCUCUACCCUCUCAGAUCUUCAUGCAUGCUGAUUUGUGGUGCGUUGAGUGUUUCUGGCUUUAACAGGUCAAAGGUGAAGUAAACACGAGGUUACAGGAGCUCUGCAGGGUCAGCUCAGGCUCAAGUAUCCUGAUCCUCCCCUAAAAUCACAGCAGACCUCAUCAGCCUGUAAAACCAUCUCAAAUGGAUGUACACAUGUCACAGUUUCUGUAAUAAAUGUGACACUCGAAUGUGUUUUUCCACUCUUGAUAAAAGCGCUCGUCUAAGAUCCAUAUGGCUUCAAUUUGGUGAUGAUGUUCAUAUUUGAAAAAGCCGAGCAUGUGUGCGCUGAUUCCCCAGAUCUGUCAUUAAACCAGGGUGGAGAUUCUCCUCAAGGUUCGACCACACUGUCACCAAAACUCCCACAAUCCUUCAGGCCACAUCACUGAGACCUUUUAAAGUUACAUUUCAGGCAUUUUUGGACUCUAUUAGACGAGGCGGCUGAGAGAGGAGGGGGGAGGUGAGGAAUACGAAGAGCAGGAACGGUGAUCGUUUCUGAAUGAAGGGUUGAACCGCGGAGAAAAACGACUCUUAUUCUUAGAAACUUUGACCAAAGUGUGAGAGUCAUUAUUGUCAAUGAUCUCUAAAAGUUAAACUGUAUUUGAUUUUAUGUCUGAAACAGAUUAAAAAAACAACCAGAGAUUCAGCAAAAGUGCAUCUACAGAUUGGACAAAGUAUAGUUUAGGAUUUCUUUACUUUCUGACUGAUUUAAAUGCAAAUUUACAAAUUAUUUCAGCUUCUUAUAAACGCUGUUUAAUCAACAAGAAUAUCAGGACAACUAAAAUCAGCGUCUGCAGCAGCAUCUGUAUAUUCUCUGCUGAAAUAAAUAUAAAGGAAUAAAAACACAACAGUAUUUUUCUCUGCAUACGUUACAUUUGUGUUACUUAAAUUAAAUAAGUUUGUGUGACAUGAUCCUGCACUGAGACUGUUUUUAAUAUGAAACAGAGUCAGAAAAGAAAGUUAAAGCUGCACUAAAAACUCAGAUUGAAGAACUUUGGGGAACAUCAGGACUUGAAUUUUCAGAGCAGAAGAUUACUGAGUUUUUGCUUCAGAAAAAGUUAAAAUGAUGGAGGGACUGAAAGUAUUUAGACCAAAUUAAAGUCCUCCUCCUGCAGAGUUCACAGCCUCACGUCAGUUUUUACCUUUUACUUGAUUUGUUGUAAAAUAAACUAUAAUAUCGACCUCUGCAGCUCACGUCUCCUCUUGUUCUUUGAGUUCAGAUAAAAUCGUCUGUCUGCAGGAAAACUUUGAAAUCGUUCUUUUUUAUGAAGAGGGUCAAAAUAAGUUCGAUUAGAUUCAAAGUGGGACGCUCGUGUUGCUGCAGCCAUGUUUGUUUUGCUGAUUUGUCUCUCGGCUGUGCAGGUUCGUCUGAGUCUGCAGGUCGGGUUUUUCUAAACGCCGGUAAGAACUUAGUCCUCGUUUCAGGAUGUGACGUUUACACGCACAAAGACAAAAACCUGCAUCCUCAGAAACCAGAUCAGAACGGGGACGAUAAAGUUGGUGUGAAUGCACCGAUAGUUUUUUCUCUAAAAGUAUAUUUGCUGUUAGAGUUAUACUUCCUGUAAAUAAACCUGAUUUUAUUCUGCAGAUUCAGAACCGUUUUUCAUCCUUUGUAAAAUCACGUCUUGAUUCUUUAAACCUGAAAUGUUGGUGCAUUCAUUUAUUUUAGUAAAUGUUUUUUUUGUAUCUGCUUGUCUAGAUGUUGAGCUCUUCUUACAUGUGUAGUUUUAAUAAAAGCUCUCACAUUUAUUCUUUAUUCUCCUUUUUUAAUUUUAUUCUUAAUCAUUAAAACAAAUGAACUU